GGUCCAUCAGCUCAACUGUCCAUUUCCAGAUGUGGUCAUCCAGAAGCCCCGAGAGGCUCCUAAAUGAGCUCUUCAGAAGGCAGUUUCCAUUUCCUGAUCAUUCAGUUCUUCUUUCAACCUGAUCUAAUUUGUUUGAAUCCCUCUUGAAUGGCAGUAUUUUGAACUGGAUAGUAGGCUACUAACCUGAAAGAAAAUCAGGUUGAAUAUUGGGAUGACAGAACAAGAGCUGCACCGGGGAGCCUGGCAAUUAAUCAUGGAUUGUUAGCAGGAGUUUCUUCACCUUGUGGAGGUUGGAUGGUCUUUACAUGGCGGUUUGUGAAUUAAAUCUACACUGACAUGGCCACGAAAGCAGAGAUAUUUUGAGAGGGUUUGGAAUUUGACUUUUUUUUUUUUUGCCACUUGAUCUCUUAGAGCUGGAUUCAAAUUCUUUUAUCAGCAUGUUUGCACCAUACAGAUAGUUCUCAACCAGGAGUGGGUUCCUGCCAGUUCUAACCUCUUCUAUAGAAG